CAGCAGGCAGAUCCAAUUUUCUGCCACCGAAUACAUUAGCAUGGGAUAAUGGAAUAGGACCCUGUCCUCCUAUUUUCAGUUGGUUUUGGCAGCGCGAGGACUAGGGUAAUGAUUAAUAGGGAUAGUUGGGGGCAUUAAUAUUUAAUUGUCAGAGGUGAAAUUCUUGGAUUUAUGAAAGAUUAACUUCUGCGAAAGCAUCUGCCAAGGAUGUUUUCAUUAAUCAAGAACGAAAGUUAGGGGAUCGAAGACGAUCAGAUACCGUCGUAGUCUUAACCAUAAACGAUGCCGACCAGCGAUUAGGAGACGUUGAAUACAAAACACCACCAUCGGUGCGGUCGUCCUUGGCGUCUCGGUUUCGGCCGGGGCGCGGGGAUGGCUUAGCCCGGUGGCACCGGUGAA
rnacentral:rRNA from 1 species